AGAAACUUAGGUUAAUCCAAACCAAGGACCUUCAAAGUCCUAAAUAAGAGAUAUACUCUCCUAGUCUCUG
rnacentral:tRNA from 2 species